UACAGAGGUCUCAAGCGUUGUUCGGAUUCAUUGGGCGUAAAGGGUGCGUAGGUGGCGCGGUAAGUCGGGUGUGAAAUUUCGGAGCUUAACUCCGAAACUGCAUUCGAUACUGCCGUGCUUGAGGACUGGAGAGGAGACUGGAAAUUUACGGUGUAGCAGUGAAAUGCGUAGAGAUCGAUAAGGAAGACCAGUGGCGAAGGCGGGUCUCUGGACAGUUCCUGACGCUGGAGGCAACGAAGGCCCAGGGGGAGCAAACGGG
rnacentral:rRNA from 1 species